AGGGCACCACCAGGAGUGGAGCCUGCGGCUUAAUUUGACUCAACACGGGGAAACUUACCCGGCCUGGACACUGGAAGGAUUGACAGAUUGAGAGCUCUUUCUUGAUUCAGUGGGUGGUGGUGCAUGGCCGUUCUUAGUUGGUGGAGCGAUUUGUCUGGUUAAUUCCGAUAACGAACGAGACUCUAGCCUAUUAAAUAGGCUCUCGGCUUUUAAACGCCGGGAGGACUUCUUAGAGGGACAGGUGGCGGUUCAGCCGCACGAAAGAGAGCAAUAACAGGUCUGUGAUGCCCUUUGUUGUCCGGGGCCGCACGCGCGCUACACUGAAGAGAUCAGCGUGCUUUACGUUCCUGCUCCGACCGGAGUGGGGAACCCAGUGAACCUUCUUCGUGAUUGGGAUAGAAGAUUGUAAUUAUUCUUCUUGAACGAGGAAUUCCCAGUAAAUGCGAGUCAUAAGCUCGCGUUGAUUACGUCCCUGCCCUUUGUACACACCGCCCGUCGCUACUACCGGUUGAACGAUUU
rnacentral:rRNA from 1 species